rnacentral:rRNA from 1 species
GAUGAACGCUGGCGGCGUGCCUAAUACAUGCAAGUCGAGCGAACGGACGAGAAGCUUGCGUCUCUGAUGUUAGCGGCGGACGGGUGAGUAACACGUGGAUAACCUACCUAUAAGACUGGGAUAACUUCGGGAAACCGGAGCUAAGACCGGAUAAUAUUUUGAACCGCAUGGUUCAAAAGUGAAAGACGGUCUUGCUGUCACUUAUAUAUGUAUCCGCGCUGCAUUAGCGAGUUGGUAAGGUAACGGCUUACCAAGGCAACGAUGCAUAGCCGACCUGAGAGGAUGAUCAGCAGCACUGGAACUGAGACACGGUCCAGACUCCUAAGGGAGGCAGCAGUAGGGCACCUUCCGCAAUGGGCGGAAGCCUGACGGAGCAAAGCCGCGUGAGUGAUGAAGGUCUUCGGAUCGUAAAACUCUGUUAUUAGGGAAGAACAUAUGUGUAAGUACCUGUGCACAUCUUGACGGUACCUAAUCAGAAAGCCACGGCUAACUACGUG